rnacentral:rRNA from 1 species
UGUGACAUACCUUAAUGUUGCCUCGGCGGAUCAGCCCGCGCCCCGUAAAACGGGACGGCCCGCCAGAGGACCCAAACUCUAAUGUUUCUUAUUGUAACUUCUGAGUAAAACAAACAAAUAAAUCAAAACUUUCAACAACGGAUCUCUUGGUUCUGGCAUCGAUGAAGAACGCAGCAAAAUGCGAUAAGUAAUGUGAAUUGCAGAAUUCAGUGAAUCAUCGAAUCUUUGAACGCACAUUGCGCCCGCUGGUAUUCCGGCGGGCAUGCCUGUUCGAGCGUCAUUUCAACCCUCAAGCCCCCGGGUUUGGUGUUGGGGAUCGGCUCUGCCUUCUGGCGGUGCCGCCCCCGAAAUACAUUGGCGGUCUCGCUGCAGCCUCCAUUGCGUAGUAGCUAACACCUCGCAACUGGAACGCGGCGCGGCCAUGCCGUAAAACCCCAACUUCUGAAUGUUGACCUCGGAUCAGGUAGGAAUACCCGCUGAACUUAAGCAUAUCAAUAAGCGGAGGAA